UUUCACCCUGUCUCUCUUCACACAGGUGUGUUGCCUUAUCGGAGACGAUGCUGUUGGAAGGAGCUGCUUAGCCCCCCACGAUGCCCUUUUCGGACUUUGUCCUAGCCCUGAAGGACAACCCCUACUUUGGGGCCGGGUUCGGCCUCGUGGGGGUGGGCACGGCGCUGGCGCUGGCCCGGAAAGGGGCCCAGUUUGGGCUGGUGGCCUUCAGGCGCCACUGCAUGAUCACCCUGGAGGUGCCCAGCAAGGACAAGAGCUACCACUGGCUGCUGAGCUGGAUCUCGCACCACGCCAAGCACACGCAGCACCUGAGCGUGGAGACCUCCUACCUGCAGCAUGAGAGCGGCCGCGUCAGCACCAAGUUCGACUUCGUCCCCAGCCCUGGGAACCAUUUCAUCUGGUACCAGGGGAAGUGGAUUCGCAUCGAGCGCAACCGGGAGAAACAGAUGAUCGACCUGCACACUGGGACCCCGUGGGAGUCUGUCACCUUCACCGCGCUGGGUACCAACCGGGAGAUCUUCUUCAACAUCCUCCAGGAAGCCCGGGCGCUGGCUCUGCAGCAGCAGGAGGGCAGGACCGUCAUGUACACGGCGGCGGGAGCCGAGUGGCGGCAGUUCGGCUUCCCCCGGCGCCGCCGCCCGCUCCGCUCCGUGGUGCUGGACGCCGGCGUGGCCGAGCGGCUGCUGCAGGACGUCCGGGAGUUCAUCGAGAACCCCAAGUGGUACAGCGAGCGAGGGAUCCCGUACCGGAGAGGCUACCUGCUGUACGGCCCGCCCGGCUGUGGGAAGAGCAGCUUCAUCACGGCGCUGGCCGGGGAGCUGCAGUACAGCAUCUGCCUGCUGAGCCUCAGCGACCGCAGCCUCUCCGACGACCGGCUCAACCACCUCCUGAGCGUGGCCCCGCAGCAGAGCAUCAUCCUGCUGGAGGACGUGGACGCUGCCUUCGUCAGCCGGGACCUUGCUGCCGAGAACCCUGCUGUGUACCAAGGCAUGGGGCGCCUGACCUUCAGCGGCCUCCUCAACGCCCUGGAUGGUGUGGCCUCCACAGAGGCCAGGAUUGUCUUCAUGACCACCAACUACGUGGACAGGCUGGACCCCGCGCUGGUGCGGCCGGGGCGCGUGGACCUCAAGCAGUACGUGGGCCACUGCUCCCRCUGGCAGCUGUGCCGCAUGUUCCAGCGCUUCUACCCGGAGCAGCCGGCGGGCGCSGCGGAGCGCUUCGCGGAGCAGGCGCUCGCAGCCUCCGACCGCAUCAGCGCCGCCCAGGUGCAGGGCCACCUCAUGCUCUACAAGUCAGACCCCAGAGGAGCCAUCGAAAAUGUGCGCUCCAUCCUGCAGUGACAAGGGGUGAGCCCCGUCCCGCCGCGCUGGGAGACCCGGGAACUGCUGGGGAAAGCACGUGACCAUCCUGAGGAUGCUGUGGAACUGCCCAGGCAGCAGUGCAGGGGGAUCGGCUCCAGCUGCUCCCUGACUCGGUGCUGAUGCGCAGGCCCCGGAGCGCCUUGUGCUGGGAUUGCCAGGGUUUCCGGACACGCCAGCCCCCCUGGCUCUUUCCCAACGCAAGGCAUCGMGGCGCUGCCCUGCUGAGGAGAACUGCAGGUCUGCUCAGAGUGGCCUUUGGCAGAACAGUCUUCA